AUUAGACAAGGCUAAUCCGUUGUAUUACACUAAAACAGGGCUAAUACAACGGUUUAUACUAACCGUUGUAUUAGAUAAACUAAUCCGUUGUAUUAGAUGAGCUAAUCCAACGGAUUAUUCUUCUAACACAACGGAUAGUGUUCCCGAAAUUUUUAAUUUUUUUUAUUUUUUAGUUGGAGCUAAUCCAACGGACCACUGUAGCUAAUCCAACGGAUCAACCCCAAUUACUAAUAAAAAGAAAAAAAAUAAUAAUAACUAAUACAACGGAUGAGUAAAAAACAAAAAAAAAACCGGGAAUGCUGAAAUAUUAGAGCCAAAAAUGAAAUUGAAACCCCAAUUCCCAAACUUCUCAGCAGUCUUCCUUCGUUCUCCUCCCUCGCUGCUGCUCGUUCCUCCGUUCUCCUCUCUCGCCGCCGCCGUUGCUUCGUUCUCCUUCCUCGCCUUUUCGCUUUUCUGUGCUCGAAUCUCUAUCUGAGUGGUGCCUGGAAGAAUUUGGAACUCAAAGAAUACAACUUUAAAGCUAAAGGUCUUCCACUUGAAGGUGGUCAUUUGCAUCCCUUACUCAAGGUUAGGCUGCUUGUUCUAUUUCCUUAAAUUCUCUUUUGCAGGGGUAGUUUUUAAAGCAUUUCCAUUUGGUUGCAGCAAUUUGUUAUUUAGUUGAAAUGCAACUUAUUGGCUAAUUUAAAAUUUUGAAUUGGAUAUCUGCAUGUUAUGGAUGUUUGUACUAUUGUUAUAAAUAAUUGCUGAUUGUGUGGUUAGAACUCUCAGAAGCCAACCUUUUUUUUACAAGUUCCGACCAGGCAAUGAUAUUGGAAUGAGCACAUGCUUAACCAUUCUGCUUGAAAUUUGUUAUUUCUGUCAUCAUUCUGGUUAUGCCGAUUGUAGUUUGGAUUUGUUUAUCAACUUACAAUGGGGGAUGUUGUGUGAGAUCGCUAGAUGUCGCAACUGUUAUAGAAUUGGAAAAAAGAUCCAUUUAUUCUAUAUGGCUCGGGUGUGAAGAAGAGUGAUUUGAAGAACAAAGAUACAAAGUCAAAUUACAUACUCCCGGAGGAAUUCCUGGUAGGCAUAAAAACACAAUUAGUCCAAGAAAUUGCACCUACCAUCACCGCUGCAGUUUUGGAUUCGAUUCGCGAGGUCAACCCCGGGAUUAAUCUUGUGGUUCCUAGUACUCUGCAGCAAUUGACUCCGCAUGAUGCAUCUAGUGCACCAAAUCGAAAUACUGCCCAAAGUGGACAAUCUUCAAAAUCAUUUAAUCAGGUGGUUGAUGACGAUGAGCUACCCCGGGAUGAAUGAAGUAAGGACUAAUGUUGAUUUUAUGUAUCUAUUGCAACUUCUAAGAGCUUUCAAAUUAAACGUUUGUUAAUUAAUUAGCUAGUGAACUUUCAUUUAUAAUUAGUUAGUAUUGACACUUCGUUUACUUUUGUAAUGCAACGAAUAUGUAUUAUAUGUACUUCGUUUAUUUCGUAAUGCAA